GGCGGGUCUAAGCAGGAAUGGUCCACCUCUGUGACAUCGGACAUCUCUAGUCAGAUACCUCUUGCUGUAGAGUGGCUCCUGAUGCCACCUUCUGUCAGGGCAGAGCCUGAGAGUAAAUUGGAUUCUGAGUCUCCUCCUCUGUCCAGAGAUGCCAUGAACAACCCAUAUACAUGCAACAUUUGACUAUUCUGAAGAACUAGGUAAAGGUAAAGGACCCUUGGACAGUUAAGUUCAGACAAAGGCGACUAUGGGGUUGUGAGCAAUCCAAUAGAGCAAUCCAAUGGAUUGUGAGCAAGCCAAGAGAGCAAUCCAAUGUUGGUCUAUUCAGAAGUAAUUUACUCUGAGUUCAAUGGAACUUACUCUCAGGUAAGUACAUGCAGUGACAAUUUUUCACAUUUCGAUUGAUGUGCACCCACUGACAGUCGGCCCCUGGUGAAGCUCCCCAGCUGGCAAAGCCCUCUGAGGCCCAGGGCAAGUGUACCUGGCUAUCCCCCUCACCCUGCGUCAACUCUGCCUGGGCCUGGAUGGUGGUAAUGCAUAUUUCAAUGGAUCUUCUCUGAGUAAGGCCAGCAUUGGAUACCACCCUGGACUGACUGGGGUCACAUUGAUGUAUAUUUAUACUACAACAUAUAUAUGUGGAGUUAUGUGCUCAGAAAUAUGUCAGGAAUAAUUUUGGCAGCACUUGGAAUAGCUUAUUUCUUGAAUCGCAGCAGAUGUAAAUUUCAUACUAGCUAAACUUCUCCCACUAUUCCCAGCUAUAGAUUUCUGCUCUGUUGCAUUUCUAACCUGGGUAUUGUAUAUGGAAGGGGAACGAACACAUGGAACAAAAAUAUAAUUUCAGAGUUUUAUGCUGCUUCAAUUUGUAUUCUUGUUACUUCCUCUGGCAGUGUGAAUUAUUUGACCUUAAAUGUGUUUUCCCAGACACAUUGAUAUGUUUGUCUCUGAUAUCACAAAAUGGAAUAAGAAACAAAGGAAGCCUCUGGUCUAGUUCAUUCUUGACAUAACACAAAGAUACGUAUUGCCAUCAGCACAAAUCACUUUUUAGAGUGCAACAAGAACUUUUGCAAUGGCUUUCCUACUUUCCAGACAGAUCAAAUGUGUCUCUGUCUUAUUUUGUAAAACCAAACUGAAAUUCUGCUUGGGUUUCAUUCAUGCUCGGUUAAUGUAGAUAUUAUACAGCAGAGUCAGAAACAAAUAACUGAGAAACUUAUAUUCAUCACCAGCUUCUGUUGUUCCAGGGACCUUUGUACUCUGGUAUGCACAGACUCUUGCUUACUUGAAUGCAUGUCCAAGUUCUUAGGUGAAAGAUGAAUUUGUGCAGCUUUUGUUUUAAGAACUGCUUGCUAUAACGUGGCAUUUUAAAAAACCCUUCAGCUGUAUUAUUUUAGGGUAAAUGUUGUUCCCCUGAGAGCUUCAGCAGGAAGAAGAAGCUAGUGAAAAUCACACUCCCCUCCUUUCAGCCUCUCUAUGCAUCUCAUGAGCAAAGUUUUCUUCCCAGGAAUUUAGGAUCCAAUCCCACCUUCCAGCCAGGAGCAGCAGGGCUGAAUCCAUGAAUGCUCUUGCCAUAAUAAAUUAGUCUUUAAGGAAGCCUUUGCCAAUCUAAUUCUCUCCAGAUGUUUUGGACUACAACUCUCAGCACAUCUCUCCUUCAAGGCAUCACUAGAUUUUGUUACUAUUGACCACUAGAAUCCGGGAAGCAUGUCGGUGCAUUCUAGAUUACUGUGUUCUACCUCCACUGUCAGAGGCAAACAUCAGUUGCUGGGAAUUGAAAGUGGGAAGAAUGCUGUUGAACUCAAGCCCUGGUUGUGGGCUUCCUAUGGGCAUCUUAUGAACUGAACGUUGCCAUUUGUAGGAGAAACAAAAUAGAAUAAACUUGCGAACAUUGGAAGAGAGAGAUAAAUUUCUGGCUACAUACGGAGAGGACCUACAAAAAGGAAUUGAACUACCUUCCGGGCCUGGGGCAAAGCCAGCAUUAACACCUGCACCUGGGGAACUUGAAGAUCCAGAGAAGACACCACCCCGGGAGAAAUAACCAGACAGAUCCAGGAUGUCUCUGCAACUGUUGAGCUGGAAUAUUAAUGGUUGUAACAUUCCGGAAAAAAAGAACAAUUGGACAUUAUCUGUUUACAAGAAACACAUGUGACGAGGCUCCACAGAAAAGUGUUAAUAAAUAAAAGAUUGGGCCAGGAAUUUAUUUCGUCGGAUAAAGUGAAGAAGAGAGGAGUGGUGAUAUAUGCAAAGAGAGCCUGUCACCUAAAUUUCUAUUUAAAGAUGAACAUGGAAGGAUUUUGGCUAUUGAGAUACAAUAUCAAGGAGAGAAACUGCUGAUAUUAGGAAUCUAUGCACCCAAUGAAGGGAAAUCGGAAUUUUACAAGAAGUUGCAGGGGACAAUGCUGGAUCAUCUGGAUUACAACAACAUCAUAAUGAUGGGAGACAUGAACGGGGUCGUAUCAACUAACAUGGACAAGUCGCAAAGUCAAAAUGUUACAAAAGAUGGCAGACUACCUAAAACCUUUUUUGAAAUGACUGACAAUAUGGACUUGAUCGACAUUUGGAGAACAAAGAACCCACUAGGUAGAGAAGGAACAUUCUUUUCUGAAGCCCAACUGACCUGGACAAGAAUCGACCAAAUAUGGAUUUCUAGAGGCCUGGCACCUAGGGUUAGAAAAGUGGAAAUCUGCCCAAAGACCUGCUCUGACCACAACGCAGUAAAGAUGGAUAUGACACUACUACCAACUGGAUCCUUUAGAUGGAAGAUGAAUGACAAUUUGUUUAGAGAUCAGGAAAUUACCAAGAAGGCCCAAAAAGUUUUGAAAGACUAUUUCGAGAUAAACAUGAAUAAUUCGGUGGAAAAAGAAUCGUCUGGGACGCAAGCAAAGCUGUCAUGAGGGGAUUCUUGAUACAACAGAAUGUAGUAAGGAAAAAAACACAAAAUGAGAAAAAGACAAGAUCUUGGAUAAAAUAAAAGAAUUAGAGAAGAAAUUAAGAGUGAAUCCAAAGUCACAGCCAACUCUGAGAGAAAUUAAACUGUAUCAAACACAAUAUUCUAAAUUGAUAAAUCAGGAAAUUGAAUGGAAGAUUAAAUUAAUGAAACAAAAAACGUUUGAGUCGGCGAAUAAAUGUGGAAAACUGCUAUCUUGGCAGUUGAAGAGAAGACAAAGAUUAAAUACGGUUACAAAUUUAGAGGUCGAUGGAAGAAACAUUCAGAAUCCAGUGGACAUUAGAAAGUGUUUCCAGAGAUAUUUUAAAAACUAUAUACCCUAGGGCCGCAAGACGAAGUCGAGAUUAAACAAUUUUUGGCAAAAAUGGAUUAUCUAAACUGUCACAAGAAAAUAGGACAACCCUGAACUCUAAAAUAACACGACAGGAGAUUGAACAAGCUAUUCAGAACAUGCAACUUGGCAAAUCUCCAGGGCCAGACGGGCUGACCUCCAAGUAUUAUAAGACACUAAAAGACUAUUUGAUACAACCCUUGAUGGAGGUUAGCAAUGAAAUUAUGGAGGGGAAGAGGGCACCGGAUUCGUGGAAGGAAGCGUUUAUCACAUUGAUACCAAAGUCAGAAGCUGAAAAGACACAACUGAAGAACUACCGUCCCAUCUCCCUUUUAAAUGUGGAUUACAAAAUAUUUGCAGAUAUUUUGGCAAGUAGAUUUAAAAAGUUUUAAAUGAAGUAAUUCAUAAGGACCAGGCCGGUUUUCUCCCAGGUAGACAUCUGUUUGCUAACACAAGGAACAUUAUUGAUAUCUUGGAACUUCUCCAAACUGACAUAAAUACAAAAGCAGUUUUAAUUUUUAUAGAUGCGGAGAAGGCCUUUGAUAAUAUUUCUUGGAAAUUUAUGAUGGGAAACUUAAAAGAGAUGGGAGUGGGACGGGGUUUUGAGAAUGGGAUUGAGGCGAUAUAUUCAGAACAGAAAGCUAAACUGAUAGUUAAUAAUGUGGUUACAGAAGAGUUCAAAAUUGAAAAAGGGACACGACAAGGUUGCCCUAUCUCCCCUUUGUUAUUUAUUUCGGUUCUGGAAGUGCUAUUGAACAUGAUUAGAGGGGACCAGUUGGUGGAAGGAAUUCAGGUUGGUCAGAAACAAUAUAAACUAAAAGCUUUUGCAGAUGACCUGGUUUUGACCUUGCAGAAGCCAGAGCCUAGUACGAAAAGAGUAUUACAAUUGAUUAAUGACUUUGGUCGGGUGGCGGGAUUUAAAUUAAAUAAACAGAAAACCAAGGUUUUGGGAAAAAAUUUGACUGAGACAGAGUCAGAACGGUUUCAGAAUGAGACGGAACUUAAUGUGGUUAAAAAGUAAAAUACCUAGGGGUAAACAUAACAGCAAAAAUCUAAGUCUAUUUAAGGAUAACUAUGAAAAAUGUUGGACAGAAAUUAAGAGAGACUUAGACAGUUGGUCAAAAUUGAAACUUUCUUUGUUAGGCCGAAUUGCUGCGAUUAAGAUGAAUGUAUUGCCAAGAAUGUUGUUUUUAUUUCAAACACUUCAGGUUUUGGACAAAAUGGAGUGCUUUCAGAAGUGGCAGAGAGACAUUUCGAAGUUUGUCUGGCAGGGCAAAAGCCCAGAAUUAAGUUUAAGAUACUAACUGAUGCAAAACAAAGAGGGGCUUUGCCCUGCCGGACUUAAAGUUGUAUUACGAAGCCGCAGCGUUCUGCUGGCUAAAAGAUUGGCUACUUCUUGAAGACACUGAUGUGUUAGAUUUGGAAGGGUUUAACAAUGUUUUUGGAUGGCAUGCAUAUUUAUGGUAUGACAAAGUUAAAGCAAAUAAGGCCUUUAAGAACCAUAUUGUUAGAAAAUCACUGUUUAAUGUCUGGACAAAAUAUAAAGACUUGCUGGAAAAUAAAACACCAAGGUGGCUUUCACCUUUGGAAGCUAAGGCCCGAAAAAGACCCAAUAUGGAGGCCAAAUGGCCAAAAUAUUGGGAAAUACUAGAAAAGAUGGAGACAAUUGGAAAUUGCAGAGUUUGGAGAAAAUGAAAGACAAAGUGCGAGAUUGGUUACAUUAUGCUCAGAUUAAAGAAGUUUUUAAAAAUGAUAAGAAACUAGGGUUCCAGGUGGAGAAAUCGAAAUUAGAAACAGAAUUGUUAGAACCAAAGAUUAAGAUACUUUCAAGGAUGUAUAACUUGCUGUUGGAAUGGAAUACACAAGAUGAAAUGGUUAAAUCGGCUAUGAUAAGGUGGGCACAGGAUAUUGGGCAUAAUAUUAUGUUUGAGGACUGGGAAAGGCUGUGGAGUAAUGGAUUGAAAUUUACUGCAUGUAAUGCUUUGAAAGAAAAUGUAAUGAAAAUGAUUUAUAGAUGGUAUAUGACCCCAGUCAAACUCGCAAAAAUUUACCACCUGUCUGAUAACAAGUGCUGGAAAUGUAAAGAGUGUGAAGGAACGUUCUUUCACCUCUGGUGGACCUGCCCUAAAGUGAAGGCGUUCUGGGAAAUGAUUUAUAAUGAAUUGAAAAAGGUAUUUAAAUAUACUUUCACUAAGAAACCAGAGGCUUUCCUUUUGGGUAUUGUCAGCCAAGGGGUGGCAAAGAAGGACCAAACAUUUUUUAUGUAUGCAACAACAGCAGCAAGGAUACUACUCGCAAAACAUUGGAAAACUCAAGAUCUACCCACACUGGAAGAAUGGCAGAUGCAACUGAUAGACUAUAUGCAACUGGCUGAAAUGACUGGCAGAAUCCGUGACCUGGGAGAAGAGAGAAUCGAGGAGGAUUGGAAGAAAUUUAAGAACUACCUACAAAAACAUUGUGAUUUGACUGAAUGCUGAAUAAGAUGCUAGACUAAAUAACUGAGCACCACUUAACUUAGAAGUUUUUAAGAAAAUAAGAAAAACUGUGAAAGUUUAACUCUUUAUGAGAACUAUAAGAUCAUGAAAUAUCGAAGAGAUAUAAGAAUUUAAAUAAGAUGAUAAAUUGCUGACAAAAUGUUAUAAUGAUGAAGGUGGGAGCGGGAGAUGUGAGGAAGUCCAAAGAAAAUGUGAAAUUAUGUUAAGACGAAUGUUAUAUUGUUUAUUACAUUUAUUCCUAUUGUAAAAUCCAAUAAAUUGCUUUAAAAAAAAAAAAACAAAAUAGAAUAAACUUGCGACCUCAUUUUAACUAGAGCUGUCUUUCAUAUCUACCUUCAUUCUGUGGUCCAGAGGCAGAUGCCAUUUACAUAUUUUUCUGCCAAAUGAAAUUAUAGAUUUACAUAAAAUAAAUAGGGUUUUAAAGAGUAUAAAAGGAGUUCUGAAAAAGUAACCAUGCUUAUAUUGGAUGUCGUUUUCUUAAAAUGCAUUGUCUGUACUGAAUUUCCUUUCCAGUAAUGCUAUUAAUUCAGGUAAGUUAGAAGUUGAUGCUUUUCUUCAGAGCAAUGGAAGAUUAAAUGACACUUGAAUAUUAGUUAGCACUGAUCUGCUUCUAUUUCAGGAGCUGGGUUAGAUAUAGAUAAUGAGUUUUCAUCCACAAUGGAUUGUUUGCUCUGUGCUGUUAGAUUUGCUGCAAGAUAGCCCAGUGAAACAAAUACAAUCUUAUCAUUUGGAAGACACUUUCCUUGCAGUGAUAAGUGUACUUCCUACUUCACAGAAAAUCUGUUCCAUGUGUUAGAAUUUGAAUUUGUUCAUGAUAGACUUAUUUACAUACUUAAGAACAGAUAAGGAAGAAUCUUUCCUGAACGAGGGUUACAUACUUUUAUUUUAUCACUGAAUGUUUAGAAAUUUGUUUAUGUUGUUUGAAUAAAACAUAUGUUACCUGAAAGUUAUUAGUUAGAACUUGUUAAAUACAAUUCUCUCUGUUCGGUAAAAAAACCCAAAAACCCAUUAUGAAAGCUUGUUUAUUUUAAAAGGCUUAAUCCACUUUUCAGGGGGUAUGGCCCUUAUACAGUGGUUUACAAAAUGUUGUACCAACCAGGGUGAAAUCAGAUUGUGGCAGUCCUCUCAUGCCGUUCCAUUAGCACAGCUUAACAGCCAAAUACAGGUGGUGUCUUCAGGCUUGUGGAAGCUGAUACACGUACUUUGUGACAGUUAAACUCAGUACUUCUUUUCUAAAAAAAAUGUUUAGGGUUGAUUUUGACUCAAGAAAAUCACCAUUUUAUAGUUCAAAUUGGGGAAAAUAAAUACAGUAAUUGGACAAAAGUACAAAGAACAUGCAUUACCUUAUAUUACCUCAUAUUAUCACACACCCACAUUCCACACUACUUCACACAUUAAAGGUUUGCUUCCAUCUGAGACUCAGGAAACACAGGGAAAGGAAAUGAAGCCACCAUCAGAGGUGUUAACAGCGAAACUGACCGAUCACAGUGCUAGAUUCCAACUCCUACUUUACACAUUAAAUGCUUGUUUCCGUCUGAGACUCAGGAAACACCAUGACAGGAAAUAAGGCCACCAUUGGGGGUAGCAAUGGAACUGACAAUUCACUGUGCUAGAGAAUCAUAGAAUCAUAGAAUCAUAGAGUUGGAAGAGACCACAAGGGCCAUCGAGUCCAACCCCCUGCCAAGCAGGAAACACCAUCAGAGCACUCCUGACAUAUGGUUGUCAAGCCUCUGCUUAAAGACCUCCAAAGAAGGAGACUCCACCACACUCCUUGGCAGCAAAUUCCACUGUCGAACAGCUCUUACUGUCAGGAAGUUCUUCCUAAUGUUUAGGUGGAAUCUUCUUUCUUGUAGUUUGGAUCCAUUGCUCCGUGUCCGCUUCUCUGGAGCAGCAGAAAACAACCUUUCUCCCUCCUCUAUGUGACAUCCUUUUAUAUAUUUGAACAUGGCUAUCAUAUCACCCCUUAGAAGAAGAAACUAUUUUUUUUUAAAUUUGUUUCUUCUCCCAUUAAAUUCACAAAAUGUUUAGGGGUAUGCGUACCCCUGCGUACCCCCAGAAAAAAAGCACUGGUUAAACUGAUGUGUUGCCACUUGCACAUUUGCUCUCAAACUUCUCAUAUCAUGAGCAACAUAAUUUACUGAUUCACCAUUAAUUUAAAUGCUGCAGCAGCAACAUAUUUAAAACUCUAAUAUUAAUUUUAGUAUUUUAAGGCUACAGCUGUAUAGGCUACAGCUGAAAGCAUACAUGAAACUUGAAAUGGUUUCUUCAAGAUCCACCCAUAAGCACAUUUCCUCAUCAGGCUGCUACAUAUCGCUUGCUAUCUGUGAUGUUUUGGUAUUAGAAAUACACACACACACACACACACACACACACACACACAUAUGUUAUUGGUUUAUAGGUAAGCAUAUAACAUUCAACAAUCAAACCCUUCUUUCUUGUCUGCCCACUAGAUAUUUGGCAACACAGAAGGAAAAAGAAGAACGUCACCA